CCUACGGGUGGCAGCAGUGGGGAAUAUUGGACAAUGGGCGAAAGCCUGAUCCAGCCAUGCCGCGUGUGUGAAGAAGGCCUUCGGGUUGUAAAGCACUUUCAGUGGGGAAGAAAGCCUUGGGGCUAAUACCCUCGAGGAAGGACAUCACCCACAGAAGAAGCACCGGCUAACUCCGUGCCAGCAGCCGCGGUAAUACGGAGGGUGCGAGCGUUAAUCGGAAUUACUGGGCGUAAAGCGCGCGUAGGCGGUCUGAUAAGCCGGUUGUGAAAGCCCCGGGCUCAACCUGGGAAUGGCAUCCGGAACUGUCAGGCUAGAGUGCAGGAGAGGAAGGUAGAAUUCCCGGUGUAGCGGUGAAAUGCGUAGAGAUCGGGAGGAAUACCAGUGGCGAAGGCGGUCUUCUGGACUGACACUGACGCUGAGGUGCGAAAGCGUGGGUAGCAAACAGGAUUAGAUACCCGAGUAGUC
rnacentral:rRNA from 1 species